rnacentral:rRNA from 1 species
GACGAACGCUGGCGGCGUGCUUAACACAUGCAAGUCGAACGGAAAGGCCCUGCUUUUGUGGGGUGCUCGAGUGGCGAACGGGUGAGUAACACGUGAGUAACCUGCCCUUGACUUUGGGAUAACUUCAGGAAACUGGGGCUAAUACCGGAUAGGAGCUCCUGCUGCAUGGUGGGGGUUGGAAAGUUUCGGCGGUUGGGGAUGGACUCGCGGCUUAUCAGCUUGUUGGUGGGGUAGUGGCUUACCAAGGCUUUGACGGGUAGCCGGCCUGAGAGGGUGACCGGCCACAUUGGGAAUGAGAUACGGCCCAGACUCCUAAGGGAGGCAGCAGUGGGGAAUAUUGCACAAUGGGCGGAAGCCUGAUGCAGCAACGCCGCGUGCGGGAUGACGGCCUUCGGGUUGUAAACCGCUUUCGCCUGUGACGAAGCGUGAGUGACGGUAAUGGGUAAAGAAGCACCGGCUAACUACGUG